AAUAGAUACCCGGGUAGUCCUAGCCAUCAACGAUGGAUACUGGAUAUUCCUGCACUCAUGUGGGAGUGUCGAAGCCAACGCGUUAAGUAUCCCGCCUGGGGAGUACGGUCGCAAGAUUGAAACUCAAAGGAAUUGACGGGGGCCCGCACAAGCGGUGGAGCAUGUGGUUUAAUUCGACGCAACGCGAAGAACCUUACCUGGGCUUGAACUGUCGGUAUAGGGACCCGAAAGGGCGACGAUCCCGGGCAACCGGGAAGCCGAUAGAGGUGCUGCAUGGCUGUCGUCAGCUCGUGUCGUGAGAUGUUGGGUUAAGUCCCGCAACGAGCGCAACCCUUGUCUUUAGUUGCCAGCGAGUCAUGUCGGGCACUCUAAGGAGACUGCCUCGGAUAACGAGGAGGAAGGUGGGGAUGACGUCAAGUCAGCAUGGCCUUUAUGUCCAGGGCUACACACGUGCUACAAUGGGCGGCACAGAAGGACGCGAGACCGCGAGGUCAAGCCAACCCUUAAAACCGGUUCUCAGUUCGGAUUGCAGG
rnacentral:rRNA from 1 species